rnacentral:lncRNA from 1 species
CCAAAGCAAAGAAGAUGGAGACGGGGGUGGUGGUGGUGGGGAGAGAAGAACCAGUGUGUAGAAGUCACAUUACCUUUUCGGGGGAAGGAGGUAGACAGCUUUCAGUUUUAAUGAGAUAUCAAGGAUAUUAGAAUGCAACUUGACCAAAUUAAUUUUGAGCAUAAAGGAUUUAUAAAAAUGCUAACAAAUGCCUAAACCGUAGCUGUCAGGGGUGUGCAGGGAGAUCUUGAAAAGAAUUUUGGAAUCAGAGG